rnacentral:rRNA from 1 species
AUUGAACGCUGGCGGCAGGCCUAACACAUGCAAGUCGAGCGGAUGAAGGGAGCUUGCUCCUGGAUUCAGCGGCGGACGGGUGAGUAAUGCCUAGGAAUCUGCCUGGUAGUGGGGGAUAACGUCCGGAAACGGGCGCUAAUACCGCAUACGUCCUGAGUGAGAAAGUGGGGGAUCUUCGGACCUCACGCUAUCAGAUGAUCCUAGGUCGGAUUAGCUAGUUGGUGGGGUAAAGGCCUACCAAGGCGACGAUCCGUAACUGGUCUGAGAGGAUGAUCAGUCACACUGGAACUGAGACACGGUCCAGACUCCUACGGGAGGCAGCAGUGGGGAAUAUUGGACAAUGGGCGAAAGCCUGAUCCAGCCAUGCCGCGUGUGUGAAGAAGGUCUUCGGAUUGUAAAGCACUUUAAGUUGGGAGGAAGGGCAGUACGUUAAUACCUUGCUGUUUUGACGUUACCAACAGAAUAAGCACCGGCUAACUUCGUG